AUUGAACGCUGGCGGCAGGCCUAACACAUGCAAGUCGAACGAGUGGCGGACGGGUGAGUAAUGUCUGGGAAACUGCCCGAUGGAGGGGGGUAACUACUGGAAACGGUAGCUAAUACAGCAUACCAUAUGAUGUGACCCGAUGGGAUUGGCUAGUAGGUGGGGUAACGGCUCACCUAGGCGACGCUCCCUAGCUGGUGUGAGAGGAUGACCAGCCACACUGGAACUGAGACACGGUCCAGACUCCUACGGGAGGCAGCAGUGGGGAAUAUUGCACAAUGGGCGCAAGCCUGAUGCAGCCAUGCCGCGUGUAUGAAGAAGGCCUUAGGGUUGUAAAGUACUUUCAGCGAGGAGGCGUUACUCGCAGAAGAAGCACCGGCUAACUCCGUGCCAGCAGCCGCGGUAAUUC
rnacentral:rRNA from 1 species